rnacentral:lncRNA from 1 species
UUCAGGCAACCCUUGGCACUCCAUUGUGUGGGGUAGGUGCGGCUGGGAGCCCUUCUCCCCCAGGUUCCACUUGCCCUUCACUGGUGGGAGACCUGGAAGCCCCUUCCUAAUGCCUCCAGGCCUUGGCAGUGAGCUCUCAGUGGGCCCCUGUCUGUGGAAAGCACUCCACCCACAGAACCUGAGACGUUAUCUAGACUGGUUUUCAUUUUACACCUGUGGAAACUGAGUCCCAGAGAGGUGAAACGGCUCGUCCAAGCCACACAGCUCUAGGUGUUGCUGAAGCAGGACUGCACUCUCCUGGCUCCUGGUUCAAAGUGCUUUCCAGAAUUUUCAAAUGGUUCCAAACUCUGUUUUGAUUUGUGCAACCUUGGGCAUGCUAAUUCAGUUCCCUGGGACAGAAAUUUUCAUCCUUGUGAAGAAGAAAUGUUGAGUGUCUACUUUGAGGGACAGCGUGCAUUGUGUGGAUUAUUAGAAAGCAGUGAGGUCCUAACAGGUGCCAGCCAUCUCCUGAGCAGUCACGCUGGAUCACUGUCCCUGGGGGUGGGAGCCACCCUGUUUCAUACCUGCAGGGCCUGCCCCACCCCACCCCUAACCCCUCUGGCAGGUCUGUGGCAGUGAUCUCUCCUCACCUGUUGCGGCCAGCACCUGGGGAGGCCUUGGUGUUUCUCCUGCAACCUGGGUCUGAACUGGCAGCUUGUGUGGUGCACAGACACCGGGGCACCGGGGUAGUAGAAGCAGAGAGGAAAGUCAGAGUUAGCUCCUCAACCACUAUGUUUGGAAAGGCGAGAUCCCCCUCCCAGGAACCUUCACACUCAUCCUGUGUCUCACACACUGUGCCUGUGAAGUUGGUGGGGAAUCUUUGUUGGUUUGUUUUGUUUUUCUUGUGCUGGGGAUAGAACCCAGGACCUUGGGCAUGCCGGGCAAGCCUCCACCACCGAGCUCCACCCCCAUCCCGAGAACUGAAGAAUGAAUUCUAAGGAACAACAGAGGUUAAGAAUAGGGAAGAUUGGGCCGGGGAUUUAGCUCAGUGGUUUCGUCGCCUGCUGCACAAGCGCAAGGACCUGAGUUCGAUCCCCAGUACCAAAAAAAAAAAAAAUAGGGAAGAUUUAUUGAGAGGUAGCUGCUGAGAGACAGGAAGGGGCCUGAAAGUGGCUGCCACUGAGGCCAUUUCUCCAACAGUGUAUUAUAGAGUAAAAUUCUGAGGUGAGUACAACGUGGGUCACACUGUAAUCAGUCAGUAAGAUUACAAGUAUAGCCGAUUAGCUAAUAUUGAUCUGAAAGAGAAGCGGGUCUCAUAGCAGGGGUACAUGGAAAGAACAAAGGCAUUUUUGGGAAGGGAUGGCCCAGAUGCUCGGAUCACCCAGCUGGGCGACUGAUGUCUAUCUGGACUUUACUGGACCAGAUGACACCAAUUAUAGUGCAACUCCUAGUUGCUGUUGGGAGGCAUACAGGCCUGGUCACUGCAUCUUUAUCUUGUGCCUUGGCCUUCUUCAGAUGCACCUCCAGCCACAGUUCUGAUGUCUUUAUUUUUUCUGCUCUCUUCCUUGACAGCCCAGCCCCUCUCUGACUGUAUAUUCAUUUCCAUCUAACUUAGCUGCCUGCAGUAGGAGGCCACCUUAGGUCUUCUCCCAUCUCUUACACACCUGCUCAGUGGCUCUGGUCCAUUUGGUCAUCAGGCAGAUGUGUCCCGGGUCCUUUUACCUGCUGGGCCUGGUGCCCAAGCCUUGUGAUGGAGCCCCAGCCCGCCCAGGGGGUGAGGAAGGCUGUUGCAGGGUGGAGUCCCAGGAAAGCUCCCGGAGGUCUUGGUUUUCUUCUGCUUUCUCACUGUUGGGCCGUCAAGGGGCCUGGAGAGGAGGGGAGCGGUUUGGAACUUGAGAGGGGCUUGCUCCCCUAGAAGGCUGCCGCUCUGCUCCUUAACUUUCCUAGAGGUCACCCCUCCACUUCCCUCCUCUUCCUGCCCCUCCUCUCCAGGUGAGCCUUCAGGCGGCUCUCCUGAUUGAGCUUCUGUUUGCCAGCUACACAGAGUGCUCCGGGGGCACCGGGCAGGAGGAUUUGAGUAGGGAGAGUUAGACCCUGUCCCCUGGCCCUUGCUUCUGCUCCAGAAGUCAGAGGAGGGGAGCUCCCCAGAUCUGGCAUGGAGGAGUGGCCACUGGGAUCUGUCACUCUCAAGCGUGGAUGAGAAGUGCACCUUGGGGCUUAGGACCAGCCGAGUCAGGGAAAGUGGCACCGAACCACUUCUUGUUCCAGGGCCUCCCUGAGUCUGGGGACCAGGCCCUGGAGGGAAGGGCUGGUGGCUGGAGUUGGCAUCAUGGGAGUCCAACCCCACCCUGGGCACCUGGAAUGGGCAGUGGGGGAGACUGAGGCAUGGGGGAUAAGACAGUGGGGCUUAGGAGGACGGGGAACUCCUCAGGUUGGGCUGGGCUGGGAAUGCUAAAAGGUAGGGGUGGCAAGAGUGCUUGGACCCCCAGGACAGAGUGGACUGGAAAAGAGGGGGAGUACGGGCUCCACAACCUAAGAACAGAGGGGCGGUGGGCGGGCGAGCGAGCGAGCGGGCUGCUUCCUUCCCAACUCCUUAACUCCUUUCAAUGAAUACUUCCUUGGCCCAGCCCCCAGUUACCUGGCUGAGGGCCUCCCGGACCGGGGAGGCUGCUCCACAGUUCCGGGGUUGUGGGAGGAUGGGGAAAUUCCUCUCCCCGCCUUAGAAGGUCUUGCUCCUGCUAGAGAGAACUGAGGAGCCUGGGGAAGGCAGGUGCCAUGACUGAUGGACGCUGGAGAGCUGCAAUUAAUUUUAAACAAGGUUGCCUGGACUUGGAGAACAAGGGCAGGUCAUGGGUGAGGCUGGGCUGCCAAAGUCUCUGUUUGCCCAGGGAGGACCUGGUCCCUUGAGUACUCACAGCAGGUGAGUGUCCGGCCUCCCACACUGAGGGUGGGGAGUGGAGUGGGCUGGAUGCCUUUGCCCCAGAACCCCUCCCUCCAGGCUGCGCAGCCCCACCCUGGGGUCUCUCCUUUCCCUCAGGGACCCUGGGAGAUGUGGCAGUGGGGAAAGGUCACCUUGAACCCAGGGCAGGCCAGCUCAGACUAAGGUCUGGUCCCGGAACCUCCCUCUUGGGACGGUGGGUCCCAGAGACCCUCCCCUUUCCAAAGGGUGGGGAUUUGGGGAGAAGUCCCCUCUGCUGGUCUAGGGACUGCCAAGCCGCACAAGGUGGCCCUGGAACACCUGCAGCUGCUUUGUAAUCCUCAGGGCCCCUGGGCUGAGUGCUCCUUGGAAAGAUAAAGAAGUGCAGGUGCCUGCCUCUGCUUGAGAUGCUUCGGUUGGCCUCGGAUGAGUGAGGGGUGGUGUCGAGGGGCACCAGAGCCAGCCCUUGGCCUCUGUGGUCCGUGCAGAGGACCAGCUGGUGUUCGGCAUGCCUGGGAUGAGGGGGAGGAAGAGGAAGGCUCCGCAGCUCUGAGUGGUGCGAAGUUCUGUCCUCCGCUGUCCCUCCUCUUUUUCCUCUACCUCCUCCCCUCCUCCUUCGCUCCUCCUCUUCUCCUCUACUUUAUUUUAGUUUUGGGUUCUUGAAGCGGGGUCUCAGUGUAGCCCUGCUGGCCUCCAGCCCCAUCCCUCUGCCUCCGUCUCCAAGUGCUUGAGUGAUUACGGGCCUGGGCCACCAUGCCGACCCUUCCCCACCUCUUCUGAUAGUUGACUUGAUUUUCCCUGGUUUGUUUUUCAUUUUUGUUUCUGUGUUUUUGUACUGACAAUUGAACUCGGCCCAGCACCUUUACACUAAGGUAUAUUCCCAGCUGUAAAAAAUUGUUUUUUAACUUUCAUCUUGAGACAGUCUCACUGGGCAGCUAAGUUACGAAGAAGGCCGUGCUGGGAUUUACAGUCCUCUUGCCUCAGCCUCCUACAGCGCCGAGAUGACGGAUGUGCACCAUCACACCCGGCUGAGUUUCCCUUUCGUAGUCGCCUCUCAGCAGAGCUCACUGCAGUGGGAGCCGCUGUCAGGAAGCGAGACCCGGAGGCCGCUGCUGGGCCCAGCAGUGUGGGCUUUGCUGCCUGUGCGGACCUCUCUGCCGAGAAUGGAAGCCUGUGGGGAUGUGGGGCAACGGAAAGGCCGCCCAGGACGUGGCGGGGUCAUUGGCUGGGCGGUGCAGUUUGAAGCCCCUGUGAGACCCGGACCUGGGACUCCCCCACUGCUCUGAGAGAGUUGCAGUGGCCUGUGGGGAACCCUCUUCCCCCCUGAAUGCUGGGCUCGGGGAGAAGCUCUCAGGGGAGGUCUUCAGACCUAGGUCACCAAGGGUUUCAGGGACAGAUUGAACCCAGCCUGGCAGAGUGCAGCGUUUUCCUCCCUUCGCCUCUGUCCCUGCCCUGGGCUGGGGGUUGUGGCACAACAGCUCAGGAGCAGGAGGUGGGAGUCGGAAUCGGAAGUGUCACUCGCAGCAAAGGGGAACUGAGCCAGGCCGGGCAGAGGCCUCUGGAUAGCCAGGCCUGCGCAACAGGGGAUUUAGUCGGUUAGAUUUUGGCUUUCCCUACUCACAGGCGAGGGCAAUUGCAGAGAUAUUCCAGUGCAGAAAGUAGCUGGCAUCUGUUUGGUUCUGGGGUGUGCUGAGGUUUAAAAGUCAUAUUUACCUCAUUAAUUAUGUCAGCCUUCAGCUAAUAUUAACCUGCAUUUCCUGACUGGGCAGCCAGGGGUGGCACCGAGGGGC